rnacentral:tRNA from 1 species
GGUGUGUGUAGCUCAGUGGCAGAGUGCGUGCCCGUGUGGGCAAGGCCUUGGGUUCGAUCCCCAGCACCAUCA